UUGGACCCUGCUGUGUCACAAUGGCUGGUCUGAAAUGCAUGAGUGCACCCUGCUGUAGCAGCGUCUUCAGUGUGAUACGUAUCUUCACUGAUUCAAGCUCCCCUGUGGGACACGCUUGUCUGGUGGGCUCUGUGCUUCUAACCGUCCACAUGGACAACUCUUGACAAUUUGACCUCAAAUCGGGUGGGACUACCCGCUGAACUUAAGCAUAUCAAUAAGCGGAGGAAAAGAAACUAACAAGGAUUCCCCUAGUAACGGCGAGUGAAGAGGGAAAAGCUCAAAUUUUGAAUCUGGUACCUUUGGUGCCCGAGUUGUAAUCUAGAGAAGUGUUUUCUGCCUUGGACCACGCAUAAAUUCCCUGGAAUGGGGUGUCAUAGAGGGUGAGAAUCCCGUUUGUGGUGUGGACUACCUUGGCUUUGUGAUACACUCUCAACGAGUCGAGUUGUUUGGGAAUGCAGCUCAAAAUGGGUGGUAAAUUCCAUCUAAAGCUAAAUAUUGGCGAGAGACCGAUAGCGAACAAGUACCGUGAGGGAAAGAUGAAAAGCACUUUGGAAAGAGAGUGAAACAGUACGUGAAAUUGUUGAAAGGGAAGCGCUUGAGGUCAGUCACAUCUGUCAGGACUCAGCCAGGCUUCUGCCUGGUGUACUUCCUGGCCGGUGGGUCAGCGUCAGUUUUGACCGAGGGAGAAAGGCUUGGGGAAUGUGGCUGUCUUCGGGCAGUGUUAUAGCCCCUUGUUGUAUGUCUCGGUUGGGACUGAGGAUCGCAGCACGCCUUAUGGCCGGGGUUCGCGCCCUCGGUACGUGCUUA
rnacentral:rRNA from 1 species